UUGCUCUUUAAUUAGUUCCAUUCAAACGAAAUAUUCUUUGUUUAUUCCUGUUGAUCAGGCAAAGAUACAUUCUUUGUUUAUUCCUGGAGCAACAAGCCCCAGCAGCGAACAUCUGGUCUGUAUACUUGCUAUGCUAUUACAAAGUGCAGCUAGAAUAGAUGAUGGAUAAGUAGUUUUAGGUCAUAAGCCUACUCUCUUUUAACACUCUUUGCUUAAUGCACUUCUCACUUGACAUGUUUAGUGAACCAAUUUAACAUGUCACCGUGAGCCUCUUCAGCACUCUUCACAGCUGAUUCAUCAUCAACAUUGUACCGCACUGUCCAUCCAUGACUCACACCAGGGAAUAUUUUCACAGUGCUUUCGAAUUGCUUAGAUUUUGCGGAUAAAAUUUCUCCAAAAUCCUUCAGUUGCUCUGGUGGAGAAGCAUGGUCAAACUCAGCUCCCAAAAAUGCAAUUGGAACCUUCACCUCAUUAAUUUCAUCAAUGGUGAGCCGACCAGGAUGCAGCACAACAGCAGCCUUAAUGUCAUCAGAGCUUGCUAGUUUCACUACUACCUUCCCUCCCCAGCAAAAACCUGCGGCACCAAUGGAAGAAACCCCUUUACUUUUUAAAGCAACAAUUACUGGUUUAGCAUCUUCAUAUCCUUUGUCUGUGUUGUGAACUUUUCUCCAUGCCUCACGAUCAAAUUGAGGAUUGUUUGAGUCAGCAGGAUCACCAUAGAAAAAAUCAGGAACCAAUACAAAGAAUCCAGCAGCUGCAACUUUGUCUGCAAGCUUUCUUUACAACAUGAACAACGAACAAUUGAAUAUUAGAAAUUAAUUGUCAGUAUGUGUUACUAAAGUCUUAACAGAUUUACUGCAAUAAAUACUAAAGAAGAAGGACGGACAGUCAUAUCAGUAUAAGGCAAGCACACUUGGAAUGUUGGUUUGUAAGGCAAAUAAGCAAUGACAAAAGCCUUCAUUUAUUUCCUUUCUCUCAGCAGGUAGCUGCAUUCCAAAUACUAUAAAUGGGAAACUGGAAACUUUUCUGCCAAGUAAUAGGAACUCAAUUGUAUACGUUAGCCUUAGGGCCUUAGGGCAUGACCCCUUGUAAUCUUGCUCCACAAGAAGUUAAGAAAAGAAAAAGGUUAAGCCUUAUUUUAAUAUCUCAAUUGAAAUAUGAAAAUGUAGUUCAAAUCACAAUGGGAAUUGUUCCUUUUAUCUAAAAGUACUGAUAAAAGCCUGCACUAAAGAGUUAAUUGCUCAAAACUCAGAAUCAUCUUCCCUCUCACCAGUAGAAACAAAAUAGAGAAAAUAUUUUGCCAAUCAACAUUUAUUCUUCCUUUUUUUCAUGUAAUUCUGUGAAAUAAUUUUCUAUAUAGGUUGAACAAACAAGUCAAGAACCAAUAGAUAUCAAAAACAGCCAAAAACUUGAUCCUAGUACCAUUCUCUACUCUCCUCUUUCCGGAUCUAGUCCCAACUUUAGCAUUUCUAUCAAGUAAAGAAUCAGUUCUUCAAAAAACAAAAGCAAAAGUCAAGUCCAUCUCACCUCAAAUUUGGAGCUUCAUACCCUGCAAAAUAUUUCAAGAAAACGAGUGAAACAAAUCCUAACUUCCAGGAAACAGCAAACGCAGACCAAAUACCAAAUAUAUGCAUAAAUGAAUAAAAAAAUUAAGAGUUAUUCAAGAAAGAAAGAAAUAGUUUAAAGGUCAUUUACCAAAAACAUCAGAAAUGAGAAGGAUCGAAUGCGUGGAAUCUGGAGGGCCAGUGACAUAGGUUUUGAGGCCACCAAACUCUUGAACUGUGCCUGAGCCACAAGAGGGCCUCAGGUUUGGUGGGUUCUCAAAGCACUGAGAGCUUGACAUGGUAAUACUCGAGUUCAAAUUUGGAAGUCGGGCAGAGUCAGCAACUGGAACCACUCACACAAGGAGAACUGAAGGGCUGGAGCCUGGAGGGAAUCAAAAUUCCAAACAAGUCAGAGAUGGUUAAAUUCAGCUACGUCACCAGUUACGUCACCUGGACCUUUCGGUUUUAUAUAAAUGUUACCCAAUGUCCACUCAACAUGUGUAGUCACAAUGUACAAUACAAGAUACAUAUUUGCAUACCAAUUCCAAAGAGAAAACAAGGAACUGAAGUCAUCUUUUGAAUUUGAAUAAGACGAGAAGAACAUGGAAUUUUGAAGAAGAUCAAUAAAAAGAGAUGGCUUCCCACCUAAAAUAUCCAGCUCCCAACUUCACGUCGAAGGUUGUUGGGGAAUGGAAGAUUUAAGCAUACAUCAAGAUUUAAGGCAGGAUUUUUCUUAUCGAAGCCACAUU
rnacentral:misc_RNA from 1 species